GGGGAGGCCAUUGCAUCUGCAAGGUGCCUGGGCCUGCAAGCAGGGCACUGGCCUUUGUGACUCUUGUCUGUGCGAUCUAUUAAAGGACUCCCUCGUCGGAAAAAAAAGAACUUCACCUUCAGAAAUGCUCUCCCUGUUACUAUGUACAGACGCUGUGUGUGGCAGAAUUGAGAAGAAUGCAAAAUGUCAUCCUGGACACUCAAGAGGAAUAUUAAUGGCCUGGAGAAGGUAUACCUGAGAAGAAAGCAGGUGGUCUGUUUGUCUUCAUUUGAUCCAGAGUCCUUCGUAUUUUGGAGUUCUCUCCCAGAGAGGGAUAAAGACAUCUACACCUUUGUAAGAAUCAGCCGGACUUCCUUACACAGAAAGUUCAUCUAGAUGGAGAGAUGGAAUCAGUGCCUGGUUUUGAGGGGAAAAGUACUCCUGAAGCCCCAGCUGUGGUUCCUGACACCCAUUUCAGACAGCUCGCCACUACCCGGAUCUCCAAGGCCAAGAAUACUGAGUUGUAAGGUGGGACUGAGUGAAGGUACAGAAGAGUAGCACAAAAGCAAGAAGCCUAAAAUAGAAGCAGUACUGGAAAAGAGGAACAGGAUCCAGUGAGCAUGGAGCUGGCUGUGUACAGCAUGAUUCCAGCAAGCCUUUUUCCUGUAAGCAGUUCUGGCAGAGCCGAGCACAUGUGUUGAGCUGCACACCUCCCUCAUGUGUAUACUGUGUGUACCAGAAGACAGUGAGAGAAGGAGAACACAAGAUUGUUUUGGUUUCCAGCAUGGAAACCAUUAACUUGGCUUUACUUUGUAAGACUAAGCAAGUUAUUUAAACUCAUGGACUUUAAUGGUCUCAGCACUUAAGAACUGGCCACCU